UCUAGUUCAACCGGGGUUCUGGCCGCCGAAGGAGAUCGAUGCCGAGAGAAGGACAUCCUCCACGUCAAUAAAUAAUGCCUGUGCUGAGCGGCUCCAUGCACCGCGAUUGAGUCAUCCUUCUCCUCUUCAGUGUUGUUGCUCCUCGAAAUCAUGUUGGUAUACCAGGAUUUGCUCACAGUGGGUGGUUAAAGGAGCUAUAGAUGCAGACAUUGGUGCUAACCCUUCGGAUGAAGGUGGGGAAGAAGAUGAAAGUGUCGAUGAUUCUGUAGUGAAGGUCAUCGAUAUUGUUGACACAUUCAGGCUUCAGGGACAAACUUCUUUCAACAAGAAGCAGUUUGUGACAUAUAUGAAGCACUAUAUCAAGCUAUUGAUGCCUAAAUUGGAAGCAGAGUAGCAAGAGUUAUUUAAGAAGCACAUCGAACAAGCUACCAAAAUUUUGCUUUCCAUGCUCAGUGACCUACAAUUUUGUUUUUUCAUCAAUCUAUUCUCUGGUUGGGAGGGCGGUUUUUGCUGCAUAUUGGCAUCAAUGCCUCUCAGAUGAACAUUAUUUCCAACAGUGAAGCUUGUCAUUUCAAUACAACCUUCUAGGUUUUUCCUACCUUGGGAGGAAUUUGGAUUUCUUCUUGAUUGCAUAAUCAUAAACUCAACAAGGAAAUCACUUUUGUAGGUGAAAGUCUGCACGACAACGGCAGCAUGGUCUUUGCUUACUACAAGGAGGGUGCAACCGAUCCAACAUUUCUGUACCUUGCCGUCGGUCUAAAGGAGGUCAAGUGCUAAGGAUAUGAUGAAGCCAGAGCUAAGAACAAACUAUAGUCUAGUUUUAUAUCUGAGCUUUUAGAGGCCUUAAUGUUUGUGCGUGGUUAAAUGUCAAGAUGCUGUCACUAUAUGAUGUAAAUGAAUACCUGGAAUUCAAUUAUUUUAAUGAGGAUUUGAGUGGGUGAGGAUUAAAUGA